rnacentral:rRNA from 1 species
UACAGAGGGUGCGAGCGUUAAUCGGAAUUACUGGGCGUAAAGCGUGCGUAGACGAUUAUUUAAGUCGGAUGUGAAAGCCCCGGGCUCAACCUGGGAAUUGCAUUCGAGACUGAAUAGCUAGGGUGCGGUAGAGGGAAGCGGAAUUUCCGGUGUAGCGGUGAAAUGCGUAGAUAUCGGAAGGAACAUCAGUGGCGAAAGCGGCUUCCUGGACCAGCACCGACGUUCAGGCACGAAAGCGUGGGGAGCAAACAGG